rnacentral:rRNA from 1 species
GACGGAGGGGCUAGCGUUGUUCGGAAUGACUGGGCGUAAAGGGCGCGUAGGCGGUUUUUAAGUGAGGCGUGAAAGCCCUGGGCUUAACCCAGGAGGUGCGUUUCAUACUGGAAGACUUGAGUACGAGAGAGGAAAGCGGGAAUUCCUAGUGUAGAGGUGAAAUUCGUAGAUAUUAGGAAGAACACCAGUGGCGAAGGGCGGCUUUCUGGCUCGGUAAACUGACGCUGAGGCGCGAAAGCGUGGGGAGCAAACAGG